GGAAAUGUGGGCUUGGAUCCAGCUUACCCUUGUUUUGUCCUCUCACAGGAUCUAAUUCACGAGAUUCUCAAGAGCCUUUGGGAGAAGGCCAGCCAGGGUUUGCUCUUCCUCUCUCUCUCUCUCGUCUGAGCUCCACAACAGAUGUUGCCAAGGCGGAUGAAUCCAACGUAGGCACAACCUCGAAAAGAAUCAAGUCUACCACUGGUGAGCAAAGCAGAGUUUCUAAAAUCAUAGAGAAAUGCAGCCGGCAAAUGCGAAUGCUCUCAAGCUCUCCUGUGAGCUGCUCAAGCUCUUCGUCACAGGUCGGGUUUACUCUAUUUCAUUUCAAAGAAGGAACUAGAACCAAAACUUCUGGGCUGAUUGAUGCAGAGGCAGUCGGGCGAGCGGGAAUCAUCGCAGAGGCCAAGGGAAAGGAUCGCAUCGAAGCAACACAUUUCGAAAGAAUGCUACCGCAGUUUUUGCUGGACUUCUAGCUAGAGACGAAGAUGGUGCUCGCGGGAAGAACUCUCGCAGUGGUAUGAGAAGGCUGGCCAGAGGACUCGCUACAGACUGUGCAAUCAAACAGCUAAACUUGAGAGAGUACCUCGAUUCGAAGUUAUGCUCCUCCGACGUUUUCACUCUGGCUUGUCUCAUCCGCGAGUGUGGUUCUCUGGGAAGC
rnacentral:lncRNA from 1 species